rnacentral:rRNA from 1 species
AUUGAACGCUAGCGGCAUGCUUUACACAUGCAAGUCGAACGAGUGGCGGACGGGUGAGUAAUAUAUCGGAACGUGCCCAGUAGGGGGGGAUAAAUACGCGAAAGAGUGGCUAAUACCGUAUACUAUUGGAUCGGCCGAUAUGGGAUUAGCUUGUUGGUGGGGUAAAGGCUCACCAAGGAGACGAUCCCUAGCUGGUCUGAGAGGACGACCAGCCACACUGGGACUGAGACACGGCCCAGACUCCUACGGGAGGCAGCAGUGGGGAAUUUUGGACAAUGGGGGAAACCCUGAUGCAGCCAUGCCGCGUGUAUGAGAAGGCCUUCGGGUUGUAAAGUACUUUUGGCAGAGAGGCGUUAUCCGCAGAAUAAGCACCGGCUAACUACGUGCCAGCAGCCGCGGUAAUUC